rnacentral:rRNA from 1 species
CCUGUGAACAUACCUAAAACGUUGCUUCGGCGGGAACAGACGGCCCUGUAACAACGGGCCGCCCCCGCCAGAGGACCCCUAACUCUGUUUUUAUAAUGUUUUUCUGAGUAAACAAGCAAAUAAAUUAAAACUUUCAACAACGGAUCUCUUGGCUCUGGCAUCGAUGAAGAACGCAGCGAAAUGCGAUAAGUAAUGUGAAUUGCAGAAUUCAGUGAAUCAUCGAAUCUUUGAACGCACAUUGCGCCCGCCAGUAUUCUGGCGGGCAUGCCUGUUCGAGCGUCAUUACAACCCUCAGGCCCCCGGGCCUGGCGUUGGGGAUCGGCAGAAGCCCCCUGUGGGCACACGCCGUCCCUCAAAUACAGUGGCGGUCCCGCCGCAGCUUCCAUUGCGUAGUAGCUAACACCUCGCAACUGGAGAGCGGCGCGGCCAUGCCGUAAAACACCCAACUUCUGAAUGUUGACCUCGAAUCAGGUAGGAAUACCCGCUGAACUUAAGCAUAUC